GACGAACGCUGGCGGCGUGCUUAACACAUGCAAGUCGAACGGAAAGGCCCUGCUUUUGUGGGGUGCUCGAGUGGCGAACGGGUGAAUAACACGUGAGUAACCUGCCCUUGACUUUGGGAUAACUUCAGGAAACUGGGGCUAAUACCGGAUAGGAGCGCCUGCUGCAUGGUGGGGGUUGGAAAGUUUCGGCGGUUGGGGAUGGACUCGCGGCUUAUCAGCUUGUUGGUGGGGUAGUGGCUUACCAAGGCUUUGACGGGUAGCCGGCCUGAGAGGGUGACCGGCCACAUUGGGACGGAGAUAAGGCCCAGCCUCCUACGGGAGGCAGGAGUGGGGAAUAUUGCACAAUGGGCGGAAGCCUGAUGGAGCAACGCCGCGUGCGGGAUGACGGCCUUCGGGUUGUAAACCGCUUUCGCCUGUGACGAAGCGUGAGUGACGGUAAUGGGUAAAGAAGCACCGGCUAACUACGUG
rnacentral:rRNA from 1 species